GGGCGGGUAAGGUUUUCCCCCGAAGCCUAGCUUGGAUAGGGCGCAAGCCUCCUAAGCUUGUGGUCGUGGGUUCAAAUCCCACCCCGCCCG
rnacentral:tRNA from 1 species